rnacentral:rRNA from 1 species
CCCUUAGAUGUUCUGGGCCGCACGCGCGCUACACUGAUGCAUUCAACGAGCCUAUCCUUGACCGACAGGUCCGGGUAAUCUUUGAAUCUGCAUCGUGACGGGGAUAGAUUAUUGCAAUUAUUAAUCUUCAACGAGGAAUGCCUAGUAGGCGCAAGUCAUCAGCUUGCGUCGAUUACGUCCCUGCCCUUUGUACACACCGCCCGUCGCUCCUACCGAUUGAAUGGCUUAGUGAGAUUUCCGGAUCGGCGUUGGGGAGCCGGCAACGGCACCCCUUGGCUGAGAAGUUACUCAAACUUGGUCAUUUAGAGGAAGUAAAAGUCAUAACA